rnacentral:rRNA from 3 species
UGUUUGAUGUUCUAACGUGGACCCGUGAUCCGGGUUGCGGACAGUGUCUGGUGGGUAGUUUGACUGGGGCGGUCUCCUCCUAAAGAGUAACGGAGGAGCACGAAGGUUGGCUAAUCCUGGUCGGACAUCAGGAGGUUAGUGCAAUGGCAUAAGCCAGCUUGACUGCGAGCGUGACGGCGCGAGCAGGUGCGAAAGCAGGUCAUAGUGAUCCGGUGGUUCUGAAUGGAAGGGCCAUCGCUCAACGGAUAAAAGGUACUCCGGGGAUAACAGGCUGAUACCGCCCAAGAGUUCAUAUCGACGGCGGUGUUUGGCACCUCGAUGUCGGCUCAUCACAUCCUGGGGCUGAAGUAGGUCCCAAGGGUAUGGCUGUUCGCCAUUUAAAGUGGUACGCGAGCUGGGUUUAGAACGUCGUGAGACAGUUCGGUCCCUAUCUGCCGUGGGCGCUGGAGAACUGAGGGGGGCUGCUCCUAGUACGAGAGGACCGGAGUGGACGCAUCACUGGUGUUCGGGUUGUCAUGCCAAUGGCACUGCCCGGUAGCUAAAUGCGGAAGAGAUAAGUGCUGAAAGCAUCUAAGCACGAAACUUGCCCCGAGAUGAGUUCUCCCUGAGACUUAAAGUCUCCUGAAGGAACGUUGAAGACGACGACGUUGAUAGGCCGGGUGUGUAAGCGCAGCGAUGCGUUGAGCUAACCGGUACUAAUGAACCGUGAGGCUUAACCUUACAACGCCG